rnacentral:lncRNA from 1 species
UACUACUUUAACUACAAUGUAAUGUCACCAGAAAAACUAUAUAAUAUUUAAAAGCUCUACAUUUCAAUUCUGAACGAAGCAUGGCUGCUUGUCUUCUCUUUCUCUUCUGCUUUUCUGAAUAAACGCCGGAUGUGAAGAAAAUAUCACCACCUCCAGUGAGGCAAAGAUAAAAACGGGGCAGCAAAGAUUUCACUGUCAACCAUGAACAAAGCAAAGAACAACUAGCACUGGAUUAUUUUUUUAGUUAUCGAGUGCAAAUCCCAAUAGGAAUAAGUGAGGGGAAGGAAGGGAGUUGCAGGCAUGGAGCUAGACCACAAACUAUAGAAGGAAAAUUUGAGUUAGGAAGAGAUUUAAACAGCACUUCUUCAAAUGUGCAGCAAAGGAGGAAAAAUUAAACAAAGCUAACCUGAACAAACAAAUAUGCCUCAAAUGGAACAACUAUGAAAUCGACAUACCUCAGUUCAUUGAUCUCUCAUCUAGGUUACAAGAUGAUUUUGUAGAAAUUCUUUCAAGCUCUUCUCCAGAAAGGAAAGCACAAAAUGAAGUUAGAGUUGAAGCAAAAGGUAUCGAUAGCGAACCGUUAAAAUCAUAAAGCUGCUAUAGUAAGCUAUCUUUUAUGAUAAGGCAUGAUUUAAACUUUCGUCCCUGUAUCUUACCAUCUGGAUUUCUUCUCAUUUAAUUUCUCUUGCCAA